rnacentral:rRNA from 1 species
GUCCUAGCUGUAAACGGUGCAUAUUUGCUGUAAAAGGAAUCGACCCCUUUUGUGGCGUAGCCAACGCGAUAAAUAUGCCGCCUGGGAAGUACGGUCGCAAGAUUAAAACUCAAAGAAAUUGACGGGGGCCUGCACAAGCGGUGGAGUAUGUUGCUUAAUUCGAUGCAACGCGAAGAACCUUACCUGGCCUUGACAUGCACAUAGUAGAAGGGUGAAAGCCUGACGAGGUAGCAAUACCAGUGUGCACAGGUGCUGCAUGGCUGUCGU